AUGGGGAGCAGGUACGGGUGUGGCAGGAUCCUUGGGUUCCAAGACUACCUCAACUUACACCGAUCGCUCUUGCUCCUAUUGUUAAUACGUCUCUUAAGGGUUGGUUAGGGAGCUAUUCUCUGUUGAAGAGGCUGAGGCGAUUUUAUGUAUCCCCUUAAGCUCUAGGGUGGUUGAAGAUAGAUGUGUGUGGAGAAUGGAGAGUAAUGGGGGUUUCUCUGUUAAGACUGCAUACAGACACUCUUUUGUGCAUUCCCCAGCUAGGGUACCUAGUACUCUAAGUGUCACUAAUGAUUUCUGGAAAAAGAUCUGGAAGGGGUUCAUACCUACUUCGGCUAAGCUACAUGCUUGGAGGGUGUGUAAUGAUGUUUUACCUUCUUUGGAGCGUCUUGCAUCUAAACAGGUGAUUCUUGAAUCCCAGGUUUGUAUCUUAUGUGGGAUUGAGC
rnacentral:lncRNA from 1 species